GUUUCCCUAGAUUUUUACUACCCAUUGUUUAAAAACAAUAAAAAAAUGUAGUUGAGGGCUCUUUGGAGGAAAAUGACUAGAAUAUCAGAAAAAGCCUGGGUUAUUGCUUAAAGAUAAAUCAUAGAAACUCAUGCAUUUCACAAACAGAAACUUGAUUAUCUGCUUCAUGCCCUGAUUCCAGGAUUUUGAUAAAAAAAUAUAUUUUUUUUUUAGUUUACACUUUGUAUAUCACAAGUUCUUAACUUUCAAGUUGACAGUACUGUUAUGCCUAUGCAUAAGUGUUUACAUUUUGCUGAAUAAGUUUUGGCAUCUUUGAGGUGAAGAAAGUAAGAUACUAUCCUGAUCAAUGCUACUGUGGUAAUGAAUGGUCUUUCUAAGGGGCUAGACACUUUCUGCUCUGGCUUGCAAUUGAUUAUUUCUGGUACCCAGGGCUUCUAUUUAUUUUUUUAAUAGCCUUGGGAACAUUUUUAACAGUGUAUUUGGGGGACAGAUGAUAUUUCAUAUAGCAAUUUUAUGUUUUGUAGUUGGGUAUGGGGGACAACACUUAUAAAUUUCAUUAAAAUCCAUCUUGUUCCUAGAUUUCUAAGGCAUUCGUUAUUUUAAACCCAUAUUAAUAUCCCCUUUUACACUCUAGAAUUAAUAAUGUUUAGUUAUAUACUGAAAUUGUUCUCAAAAUAUGCACAAAACCUAUAAUUACAUAGUUAAUACUAUGGUUUGCUAAUGCAAACAGUUUUUCCUGUACGUGGACCCCUUUUUCC
rnacentral:lncRNA from 1 species